UCUGCUUUCUGCUUUAGGAGGCCACUGGUAAUUGGCAGUUGAUACCGAUUAGGUUUAGCUCCCUGUACUGUGGGCCUGUUGUGAUCAGGAACAAUGCCGGUCCGGUGGCUGAAGCUUGGAGAACUUUCCAGUUCAUCAGCCCCAUUAUCACCUACAUGCGUGGGGGAUCCCAGCAGGUGGUGGUGAGGAUGCACCAUGCGAGUAGGGUUCGAGGCCUGGAGACUCAACUGAUGUGGGCCAUCUCCAAGGAGACAAACAUAC